UAGAACUCAACUAAUUAUCAAUGCUCAACAUGAAGACUACUGAAUCAAUAAUUAUAAUCAUCUUCUUCCUUGUUUUUUCUCCAUGCUUUAACUUUGGUGACUCUUCACUUAAAGACUCCUUAUCACUAAAAGGGAAGGGGGUUGAUGUUCUAACUCAAGAAGAGAUUGGCAGCUCAUUUCGUCCAAUGAUGCAUCAUAGGAGACUCUUAGAAUAUUGUCCUUGGUGGUGCUGGCCACCAGUACUCUGCUGUAAAUCUAAUGUUGUUAAAAAAACCUUAGUUUGAGAUAGGUAUGUAGCUUGAUUACAUGCUUAUUGUUCUUGUUUAAUCUAAUGGGAACCUAUUGAUAAAUCUAUUGUUCUUGUUUAAUCUAAUGGGAACCUAUUGAUAAAUCUGUUGUUCUCUUUGUGUUGCAAAUCUUUUAUAAAAGUGUUUG
rnacentral:lncRNA from 1 species